rnacentral:rRNA from 1 species
UACGUAGGUGGCAAGCGUUGUCCGGAUUUACUGGGCGUAAAGAGCGCGCAGGCGGCCAAGUCAGUCGAAUGUGAAAGCCCCCGGCUCAACUGGGGAAAGUCAUUCGAUACUGCUCGGCUUGAAGAUAGGAGAGGGAAGCGGAAUUUCAGGUGUAGUGGUGAAAUGCGUAGAUAUCUGAAGGAACACCAGUGGCGAAGGCGGCUUUCUGGCCUAUUCUUGACGCUGAGGCGCGAAAGCUAGGGGAGCGAACGGG